UUUUACAUUGUUGGUAAAAAACUAUUUUUAGACACAAGUUAUUUUAAGUUUCUUGUUUAUUUUAUUUAUUUAAAAAAAAACUCUCUACACGUUCUAAAAACAAGGGCAAAAAUAAUUAUACCAUUCAGAUUGGAGACAAACACAGACGUCAUGAUGACGUCUUCAUCAUUCAUGGUCAUCGUCUUCCUCCCUCCAACUUAACUGCCCCACGAGGGCGCUGUUUCGCUGUGUGCGACGUCACAAAAUGCGACGAAACAGCCAGAAGAAAAAAACUUUAAACGGUCGCGGAGUGUGACGUAGCACGCCGAAAUGUUUGCCGCGUGCUUUAAAAGCCCUAGGUGAACGGGUUAUUCUGAAAUGGCGGCUCGACCUGGUCCGGAUAAACGGUUGGGACAGGAAGAUGCGCACGGAGACCAGGUCGAAGUUUUCUGGUGUAAAAGUUGUAAGAGUACUCUCCUGAAACUAAAGGCAAGAUUGGUCGUCCUGAAGAUCUUCAACACAGUAGGGAUCGUCGGUUUUCUUUUAUUCUGAGUGGCCGCCGUGCCCUGCUGUGUGUGAAACAUAGUUUGCAGUAAAGUUAGAAAAUGGCCGCCUGUCUUUUGUCCCUUUGGUUUUCUUUCUGGUUUUCUGGUUUUUGGAGCAGGAGCGUGGAACAGGUUGUUGGUUAGCUAGUCAGUGAAGUCUUACAGGUGGCUGGCUCUCUGUUCAUUGGUGGUUAGGGGAAGGUUUUUGUGACUCUGGUCCCAUUUUAAUGGUGUGGAACUGCUGAGCGUGUAGGUAAAAUGGUGGGUCUGAUUUCUGACCGUGGUGGUUCAGUGUUCAUAGUUUUAAGCUCAGCAGUUUGUAGUCAAUGAGUGUGAAUGAUGUUCUCUCGCUCAAUGUGUGCACUAACAAUUAUUGCUUUUUAGGUCCUGUCGACAAAGGGUGAGUCCAAAAUUUUAUUUUAUUUCCUCUUCCUGUCCUUUUUUAGGGUUAGGAUCAAAGAGCGCUUAUUAUUGAUCAAACAUAGGCGUUAUUUCUCUGUAAUAGAGCUUAAUCUAACUUAAUCAAAGAUGGCUGAACAAUGUGGUCUUUAAUAUUCCUAAGAAAUGUACCAAAAAAAAGGCCUAGUUGCUGUGCUAUAACUUUUUUUUUCAGCUUCUUCUGGAUGACGACAACAAAAUGGAGGAAACAAUCAAUUGCGAUUAGUUGCGCGCUUAAAAUGUAACACACAAGGUAGGUGACACUACGCCUGUUCUUUCCCAGCCGCCGUGCUGAUAUUACGCGCUAACAUGGCCUCUUGCCGUGACCUUCUUUUCCAGCUGCCGUGCUGCUCUUUAUUUCUACCGCUCUGUUUUGCCUCUGUUCUUUUCAUAAAAAUCUUGCGUCUAAAAAUGGCUAGUUGUCGGUCAAUGUUAAGUAGACUUAAUGACCACUGUUCAGUCUAAAAUAUGUGUAGUUAGAACAUUAUACACAAAGUGUAUGACAAUAUUCAGGAGACUAGCAGCAGAAUUUCUCCACUGUAUUCUUUCAAAUCUGUAUAGUCUGGAGUGUGUGUGUGUGGGACCAGGGCUGGACUAACAUGUAGUUUUUCACCUCUGAAGACAAAGGUUAGCUUAGUUGAACUGUGAGGAUUCCUUGUUUUGGCCACUGUGUCAAAAAGGCUGACCUCCAGUAAUGGGUUCAGUUUGUUGUAGCGCUUCCUCUUGGCUGACUUGCUUUUCCUGUCUCCUGUCCUUUAUUUCCCAGUGUGGCCAUUCACUAGUCUCAAACAUUUUUACCUUCAGUUUAGAUUUCACCGGCAAUUUCUAUAACGAAUAUAAUUUUGGACGUUGCGUUCGUUUUCAAGACUGCGUUCGUUUUCAAGACUGCGAUCGUUAUCAAGACUGCGUUCGUUUUCAAGAUGGCGUUCGUUUCCUGCGAUUUUUGGACGUGGCGUUCGAUUUUGAAAGUGUUCAACUUCAAGCGGUCAUUUCCUGCAAGUUUUGGAUAUGGUGGUCGUUUCCUACAGUUUUGGAUGUCCUGUUCCUGUUCCACUGCAAUUCCUGAUGUUUCGGUUGCUGUCAUUUCCUGGCUGUCUGUUUGCUGUCCAGAGGAACUACCAGAAUUCCAGCGCCAUCUAUCAACAUGGACAUCCAGCACCCUAAAAGUCCUAUGUAUUUCCUUGCCAUUGUACCUUUUGUUAAUGUAUAUUCAUGUAAAUGUGCUUGCCUGUUAUUGACAAUGUAUAGCCAUGUAAAGUUGGUCUACUGUUAUUGUCAAUGUAUAUUCAUGUAAACUUGCUUGCGUGUUAUUGUCAAUGUAUAUUUAUGUAAACUUGCUUGCCUGUUAUUGAUGAUGCAUAUCCAUGUAAAUUUGCUAGCCUGUUAUUAAUGAUGUAUAGUCAUGUAAAUUUGCUUGACUGUAAUUGUCAAUUUAUAUUGUCUUGGAGACUGAACUAUAUAUUCAAGUAGGAUGUUUUUGUACAAAUGCCAUUGUUGGACAACCAUACUACAACUUCGGUUGUGCUAUGUGACAGGUUUGUACACCACAUGCUACCACACUCUGUGCUUUAGUCUGUUUGCACUUGUCCACCUUUGGUGUUCCUUGUUUGCAUGACCCUCAAUGUGAUUACCCUUAUCUCAAUGUCGCAUGUUUCACUAGGUUGUCUGAGGUGGUCGAGAUCAAUAACAUAUGGGCUAAGUGGGUGUUUUAUGUAUUGUAUUGUAGUUAUUUAAAUUAUUGUUUUAUUAUAAUAC